CGACCUGAGCCGAAGUCGGACACUCAACCGACCGAGCCACCCGGGCGCCCCUGAAAUUUUUCUAGUAACCACAUUCAAAUGGCAAAAGGAGAUGGACUGUCAGCGUCUGGGGAACACGACUGAGUCUUUUCCGUCUCUCUCUGCCCUGCCGCGACACUCAGCUGAGAAUGGCACCCCUCGCUUUGCCUCUGCCGUCCAGACACUUGCGUUCUGCUUGGGGUGGGGCAGCCUCCCUCCAACGCUCAGGACACUUCAGGGCUUGAUCAACAUGCAUUCAAGUUCUCUUUAA